UACGGGGGGGGCAAGCGUUGUUCGGAAUUACUGGGCGUAAAGGGUUCGUAGGUGGCCUACUAAGUCAGACGUGAAAUCCCUCAGCUUAACUGGGGAACUGCGUCUGAUACUGAGUGGCCUGAGUGCAGGAGAGGAAUGCGGAAUUCCAGGUGUAGCGGUGAAAUGCGUAGAUAUCUGGAGGAACACCGGUGGCGAAGGCGGCAUUCUGGACUGUAACUGACACUGAGGAACGAAAGCCAGGGGAGCAAACGGG
rnacentral:rRNA from 1 species